AUACUUACCUGACAGGGAAGACACCAUGAUCACAAAGGUAGCUUUCCCAAGGUGAGAUUUAUCCAUUGCACUCCAAAUGUGCUGUGAUUUCCCCAAAUGUGGGAAACUGGACUGCAUAAUUUGUGGUAAUGGGGGACUGCCUUCAUACUUUCCCCUG